AUUGAACGCUGGCGGCAGGCCUAACACAUGCAAGUCGAACGAGUGGCGGACGGGUGAGUCAUGUCUGGGAAACUGCCCGAUGGAGGGGGAUAACUACUGGAAACGGUAGCUAAUACCGCAUACUAUCAGAUGUGCCCAGAUGGGAUUAGCUAGUGGGUGGGGUAACGGCUCACCAAGGCGACGAUCCCUAGCUGGUCUGAGAGGAUGAUCAGCCACACUGGAACGGAGACACGGUCCAGACUCCUACGGGAGGCAGCAGUGGGGAAUAUUGCACAAUGGGGGCAAGCCUGAUGCAGCCAUGCCGCGUGUAUGAAGAAGGCCUUCGGGUUGUAAAGUACUUUCAGCGGGGAGGCGUUACCCGAAGAGGAAGCACCGGCUAACUACGUGCCAGCAGCCGCGGUAAUAC
rnacentral:rRNA from 1 species